AACGAACGCUGGCGGCAUGCCUAACACAUGCAAGUCGAACGAGACCUUCGGGUCUAGUGGCGCACGGGUGCGUAACGCGUGGGAAUCUGCCCUUGGGUUCGGGAAUAACAGUUAGAAAUAGACUGCUAAUACCGGAUGAUGUCUUCGGACCAAAGAUUUAUCGCCCAACGGAUGAGCCCGCGUAAGAUUAGCUAGUUGGUGAGGUAAUGGCUCACCAAGGCGACGAUCUUUAGCUGGUCUGAGAGGAUGAUCAGCCACACUGGGACUGAGACACGGCCCAGACUCCUACGGGAGGCAGCAGUGGGGAAUAUUGGACAAUGGGCGAAAGCCUGAUCCAGCAAUGCCGCGUGAGUGAUGAAGGCCUUAGGGUUGUAAAGCUCUUUUUACCAGGGAUGAUAAUGACAGUGCCUGGAGAAUAAGCUCCGGCUAACUCCGUGCCAGCAGCCGCCGUAAC
rnacentral:rRNA from 1 species